rnacentral:misc_RNA from 1 species
CAGAGUUAUCACAACUCCCAAACCCAUGUGAACCUUUACCAUUUGUUGCCUCGGCGGUGCCCGCCCCCCGUUCACUCGGGGAGGCGCGGCCCGCCGGCGGACCAAAACAACUCUUUGCUGUAUCGUGGCACUCUGAGUAUACAAAAACAUAAUAGUUA